UAUUUUGUGUGUGUUUUUUAUAUGUGGUUUGUGUGAAGUAAGAAGGAGGUUGACCGAUGAUAAUGUCAGACUCCCCUUUAAGGCCCUGUUCGGGACGAAGGAUUUAUUACAGGAAUCGUACAACUUUCCUUUCCUAUGGAUAUUUUCCUUUGGAGGCGUUCGGGACAAAGGAAAGAGCGCUACACUUUCCUUAGGAAAGGUUCCUUUCCAGCGAUUUUCACGGGAAACAAAACAUCUACCCAGACCUAAUGGAAACACAGAGGAAACAGAGUCGCUGCCACUCCUUUCUACUCGUACUGCCGCCUCCUGUCUCUAGCACUCCCGCCGCUCCCCCCAAAUCCGCCAUGGAGAAGGAGGAACCCUAGAUAUUGUGGUGCGAAAUCAACAUGGAGCACCAACGGAGCACUGUCGGUUGGCGAAUCCACCCUCCUCCGCCUCCACAUCUCCCCCCUCCACCCCCUCCAUCCGCACAAGGGCUUGACGACCAGAAAUUUGGGGGAAGUCAAGAAAUCUCCCUAGAAGGUAUGUCUAAGAAUUCUAGUAGAGCCAAGUGGAAUCAUCAGAUGAAGGCAUAUCUCAUUGAACUCUUAAGAGAUCAUGAUGUUCCCAAGUAGGAUGGAUGUAUGUAUUGCUCUCCUCUCAGAUGAUUGGGAUGAGCUACCUUGUAAUGUAGGGAGUAUGAAAUGUACAAAAUCAUCCUCGUUUCUUGACCGUCGGCUGUAGUUUGGAUCCAUUCAGCUUUAGGAAUGAAUGAAUUUUGAGGUUAGAGGAAUGAAUGGAUUGCUGCUACAAGAAUGGACUAUGUGUUCCUAGAGAAGUUCUUACAGGGGGGAGGAGAAGAAAUGACAAGCAAGUUGCUGGCAGUGCAUUGUAUGUGCUUA